rnacentral:sRNA from 1 species
GUACUGGCUGGCUCCUUCGAUGGGCAUUUGGGAUUUUUUUCCGAGUCGAGUCGCAGUCGAUUCACCCGAUAGGCUCCAGAUGUCUCACUCUUGCGAAAAGGGCCUGGGGAGGAGGGAUGGGUGGCAGGAGGUGGAGAGCUCAUCCAGAUCCAGCUUAAAUUCCAACGCGCUUGUCCACCACGGGUAUGGAGAUUGUGGUGACAUGUCGAUGUGGUGCUUCUAAAAAACCGAGAUGAAAAGAAAAAGAAACAAAGGUUGACGCAGUAGCACGUAUUGCGGAAGUCGACCUACCCGGCUGCCGGUGGGCACGAUAUAUAUAUUUGUAUAUUGAUAUCAGCCCGCCUUGAGGAUGGAUCCUCGGUGCAGCGGAGAAAUAUACCCCAUACACCUUUCCAUGUACUGUACAGUAAGUACUCUACUCAUGUUAAUGCGUGUGUAAUUUUUUUUUUUUUUUUUUUUUUUUUUUUUUUUUUUUUAAAAGAAAAGUACCAUACAACCUUAUGCAGGGUGAUAGCCACGAACUACCAGACACGGCCAAUGUGUCCACAGCAUCCGACACCUUCAAAGCUACGCCGGCUCGGAGAAUGCCCAAUUUCCAGCUGGACCGGUCUCGAGUCCAGUCCAGCCAGUACGGCUCGAGAUAGUAGUAAAAUGAUAAAGGGGUCAUCCCGCGCACUUUUUACCCUCCUGUUGCCCCGGGAGAUAAACUUGAGUGCCUAAACCGUACCGUAUACGAGAUGCACAGCAGGAGAGACCAAACGCCUCCAUUCUAGAGCAGUCGAAUGGGUGUAUCUUGAGACAAUGCAGAAACAGGAUUUGCAGCUGCACUUGAUUAACUCUGCCCAAUCAAUAGGCACUCACCUUUGCUGCGCCGUUUUGAGUUCAACCUCCAUGAGUAAUGAAUGACUUGACCUCGUUGAAGAACGGCGAUUUGGCUGGCUGGCUGGCUGGCUGGCUGGUUUAUUUGUGGAACCAUCGGCUGCAUCAUCGCGGUGGAGUGAGUGAGUGAGUGAGUGAGUGAGUGGACAUUGUUUGUUUCUCUGUCCAGGCUAAGAUCGAUCAAGCUUUUUCAAGCUGCAGAUCUCAUUUGUGGAGGUUUUUUGCCAUCCACUAUUUUUCUUUUUCUUUUUCUUUUUUUUCCGAUUUCGAUGCAGGCUCAGGAGGAGGAGAGGAACGAUGUGCUGUGUGGCCCCGAUUGAUUCACAGAACACUACGGAGUAGUAAAAAAUCGCUUCCAUGAUGUCAGGUCUCGCAGCAACAGUUUAACUCUUCCAGCUCAAAUAGAGAUCCUCGCUCUGCACACGACAUGUAACUAACUGACUUACACACCACACCGUUCACGGACGGAGACGAGCAGGAACCAUUCAUCUCCCAAAUACGAAGACUGCCAUCCAUCCACCCACUCCUCGAAAAGGAAAUCCCUCUCCUGGCACAGCCCAUAUUUCAAUAUAAUGGGGGAUACUGUUUCACUCGACGUAACUGAUGCCCGUAUCCGUAUCUGUUGAAUUGGGGCUGGUGCGCCCCCAACAACCACAAAUCGCUGUUUUAUCAUCGAUGGAUCGUUGAACUAAGCAAAAAACAAAUAGUUAAGACACAAUUGGAAGAACGUCCUCUACGGAGCGCUUCGCUUCUUAAUACUCUCUGUGUAUGUUUGGGUGAUUCUCGAUUCCCAGAAUCGGGACUCUCCUUUGGGGUGGAUGGCUGUUUUCGCGCCCAGUUUACUACUUUAUUAUUAUUGUUAUCUAUCUUCUAAUCUUCGUGAUGUAUAAUAUGUAUUUCAUUUCACAGGUGCGGCUCGGUAUUCUAUGUCUUGAUGCGUUGAUUUGCAGAUUUGCAGCCUAGUUAGCUACUUGCGAAAAGUUACCAAGCUCACAUCGCCCCUCUCGUGCUCCGAACUCUUGGGGAUAAAUUCGUCAACUAAAUAAAUGAAUAAAAUAAAUUCCUACAGCAGUUCUGUAGCUGACUGACGCAUGCUACCUCCGCUGUAGAGAAAUCUUAACUAACCAAAAAGCUAAACCCCCCUCCCUCCACUUUCGACAUAAAAGUGCCGCAAACCCAACGACCCUUCAUCCUACUUCAGAAAAAAAAAAAAAAAAAAAAAAAAAGAAAACCAAAACCUACGCCCCAGUUCCAGUUCCAGUUCCACUUUCACCCAAGUGCCUUGCGCAGUGUCGCAAUCUGCUCCAGAACAGCCGACCUGCUCGUGCCCCCAAUUGCCGCCUUCAUCUCCACAGACCGCUCGUAAUCAAAAACCUCCAGCACAUCGUCGCCAAACCGGUUGUCGACGCUUUGCAGCUGCGCCAGGGUCAAUUUGUCCAUGGGGAUCCCUUGGUUUUCUGCAAGAGCCACGACGCGGCCGGCGAUGUGGUGCGUUUCGCGAAAGGGGAGGCCUGUUUUUGUUAUGCAUUGCGGAUUAGUUUGGGGUUAGAGUGUUUGUGCCCGAUUGGGUGGAUAGUGUUUUAGAUGGGGGUGGUAGGUAUAUGGGAUUGGUGGGAGGGUUGAAGGUUGGUUUGGGAUUGCGAUUGGAAGGGGACGCUUGGUUUGAAAAGGAAACGUUCUUGAAUCUUUGUUACCUUUCCGAACGAGAUAUUCCGCCAGAUCAGUAGCCAGCAUGUCUGGGGUUAGAGCCUCGCGCAUUUUAUCUGGGAAGACGGUUAGGGUGGAUAGCACGCGGGUUGCGAUGAGCAAACUAUCUUUCAGCGUUUUGAUGUGUUCGAGGAGCGGCUCCACGCUCUCCUGUAGGUCUUUGUUGUAUGUUGACGGAAUGCCCUUGAUGGUCAUCAUGAGACCGGCCAUACCGCCAAAUAUUCUCCCACACUUGCCUCGUAGGAGCUCGAGGGAGUCGCCUGUCGGUGUGUGUCAGAGUUGGCCGCUCCGCUAGCCUUUACAGUAAAGAACCUUUGAUUCAAACAAAGGCGAGGGAGGAUAACAACAUACUAUUCUUUUUCUGGGGC